ensembl:lncRNA
GGGGGUCCCCAACUUUGGGAUGUGACGCCAUGGUGGGGAUGUGGGGGCACUCCCACCUCUGGGACAGACCCCAACUUUGGGGUGUCCCAACUUUGGGGUCUGACACCAUUGGGGUGACACAGAGCUGUCCAUAACUUUGGGGUGUGACACUGUGGGUGUCCCCAACUUUGAGAUGUGACACUGUCGGGGCGUCCCCAACUUUGGGGUGUGACACUGUGGAGUGUCCCCAGCUUUGGGGUCGGACACCAUUGGGGUGACACAGAGGUGUCCCCAACUUUGGGGUGUGACACUGUGGGGGUUUUUCCAACUUCGGGGUGUGAAACUACAGGGGUGCCCCCAACUUUGGUGUGUGACACUGUGGGGGCGUCCCCACCUUUGGGGUGUGACACGGUGACGCGGUGCCCCCACUUCCCCUGGGAAGUCCUCAAGCUGCUCACGGUGUCCCCAACUUCGACGCAAUGCCCCCAGGGGGGUCCUUUUGUCCCCUCUGCGUGACGGUGACACCCAAUGACAACGCCGCCGCGUCACGGCUGUUCCACACUGAUGUCACCCGUGGUCCCCUCUGCUGGUGGCACAGAGUUCACCUCCCGUCCUCGGGACAGAGGAUGGUGACAGCGCCACAGGGCUCCGGUGUCACCGGGACCGGCUGCAGGCAGGCCUGGAGGGGUGACAAAGGACAGUGGGAGGCUCAGUGACAGCACCCCUUGGACACCCAGGACACAUCUGGG